UAGUAGGUUGACGUCCGUGGCUCGAGGACGAACGCUGGCGGCGUGCCUAAUACAUGCAAGUCGAGCGGGGGCUUUUGGGAGCUUGCUUCUGGGAGCCCUAGCGGCGGACGGGUGAGUAACACGUAGGCAACCUGCCCGCAAGACCGGGAUAACGUAGGGAAACUUACGCUAAUACCGGAUAGGGUUUCGCCCCGCAUGGGGCGGAACGGAAAGGCGGCGGAAGCUGUCACUUGCGGAUGGGCCUGCGGCGCAUUAGCUAGUUGGUGAGGUAACGGCUCACCAAGGCGACGAUGCGUAGCCGACCUGAGAGGGUGACCGGCCACACUGGGACUGAGACACGGCCCAGACUCCUACGGGAGGCAGCAGUAGGGAAUCUUCCACAAUGGGCGAAAGCCUGAUGGAGCAACGCCGCGUGAACGAGGAAGGCCUUCGGGUUGUAAAGUUCUGUUGUCAGGGACGAACCAGUGCCGUUCGAACAGGGCGGUACCUUGACGGUACCUGACGAGGAAGCCACGGCUAACUACGUG
rnacentral:rRNA from 1 species